rnacentral:rRNA from 1 species
GAUGAACGCUGGCGGCGUGCCUAAUACAUGCAAGUCGAGCGAACAGACGAGGAGCUUGCUCCUCUGACGUUAGCGGCGGACGGGUGAGUAACACGUGGAUAACCUACCUAUCUGACUGGGAUAACUUCGGGAAACCGGAGCUAACACCGGAUAAUAUAUUGAACCGCAUGGUUCAAUAGUGAAAGACGGUUUUGCUGUCACUUCUAGAUGGAUCUGGGCCGCAUUGGAUAGUUGGUAGGGUAACGGCUUAUCAAGGCUACUAUGCGUAGCCGACCGCAGAGACUGAUAGGCCACACUGGAGCUGAGACGCGGUCCAGAGGCCUGCGAGAGGCAGCAGUAGGGAAUGUGCCGCAAUGGGCGAGAGCCUGACAGAGCAAGGCCGCGUGAGUGGUGGAGGUCUUCGGAUCGUAAUACUCUGUUACUAGGGAAAAACAAAUGUGUAAGGAACUAAGGACGGCUUGACGGUACCUGGUCAGAAAGCAACGGCUAACUACGUG